UACGGGGGGUGCAAGCGUUGUUCGGAUUUACUGGGCGUAAAGGGUGCGCAGGCGGAUUUUUAAGUGAAUUGUUAAAUCAUAAGGCUCAACCUUGGAAUGGCACCCGAUACUGGCAGGCUAGAGUACGGUAGAGGGGUGUGGAAUUUCCUGUGUAGCGGUGAAAUGCGUAGAUAUAGGAAGGAACAUCAGUGGCGAAGGCGACACCCUGGACAAAUACUGACGCUGAGGCACGAAAGCGUGGGGAGCGAACAGG
rnacentral:rRNA from 1 species